rnacentral:tRNA from 1 species
GGAACGUAGCUCAGUGUUAGAGUGCUUGCCUUGCAUGCAUGAGGCCCUGGGUUCGAUUCCUCAGUACCA